GACGAACGCUGGCGGCGUGCUUUACACAUGCAAGUCGAACGGUGAAGGUGGAGCUUGCUCCGCCGGAUCAGUGGCGAACGGGUGAGUAACACGUGGGCAACCUGCCCCUAACUUUGGGAUAACUACUCGAAAGAGUAGCUAAUACCGGAUACGAAGUCUGUAGGCAUCUACGGAUUUGGAAAGUUUUUCGGUUAGGGAUGGGCCCGCGGCCUAUCAGCUUGUUGGUGAGGUAGUGGCUCACCAAGGCGACGACGGGUAGCCGGCCUGAGAGGGGGACCGGCCACACUGGGCCUGAGACACGGCCCAGACUCCUACGGGAGGCAGCAGUGGGGAAUAUUGCGCAAUGGGCGAAAGCCUGACGCAGCAACGCCGCGUGCGGGAUGAAGGCCUUCGGGUUGUAAACCGCUUUCAGCAGGGAAGAAGCGAAAGUGACGGUACCUGCAGAAGAAGCACCGGCUAACUACGUGCCAGCAGCCGCCGUAACAC
rnacentral:rRNA from 1 species